AAGUCGUAACAAGGUUUCCGUAGGUGAACCUGCGGAAGGAUCAUUUCCAAAAAAUCAAGCAUUGCCAUUUACACCUUAUGGUGUGUGAACAGUUGGUUUAGAAAAUACUCAUUUACUCUCGAAGCGGGUCAGCAUCUCGAAUGCUACUGUGGAGAGAGGCCUUGAUGAACCCACAUCCUAUUGUAUUGUGAAGGAAAAGCAGUCCUACAGAGGAAAAUGUAUUAAAAGUGCUCUCUACAUCUCGAAUGUAGUUACGCUUCAAUACUUUUGGCUCUGUGCUGACAAGUAUCUCCAAUAUAGAGGACGUUAACAAAAAGUACCAAGUAUUUCUAAGUCAAAAAAGGCUCGCUGCUAUAUCUCGUAUAUACUGCAAGCCAAUUUUACUCUAGUAAAUAUACGACAACUUUUAACGGUGGAUCUCUUGGCUCGU
rnacentral:misc_RNA from 1 species